rnacentral:rRNA from 1 species
AACGAACGCUGGCGGCAUGCCUAACACAUGCCAGUCGAACGAGACCUUCGGGUCUAGUGGCGCACGGGUGCGUAACGCGUGGGAACCUGCCCUUAGGUUCGGAAUAACUCCCCGAAAGGGGUGCUAAUACCGGAUAAUGUCUUCGGACCAAAGAUUUAUCGCCUUUGGAUGGGCCCGCGUUGGAUUAGCUAGUUGGUAGGGUAAAAGCCUACCAAGGCGACGAUCCAUAGCUGGUCUGAGAGGAUGAUCAGCCACACUGGGACUGAGACACGGCCCAGACUCCUACGGGAGGCAGCAGUGGGGAAUAUUGGACAAUGGGCGAAAGCCUGAUCCAGCAAUGCCGCGUGAGUGAUGAAGGCCUUAGGGUUGUAAAGCUCUUUUACCCGGGAUGAUAAUGACAGUACCGGGAGAAUAAGCGCCGGUUAACUCCGUG